UGGUAGUCCACGCCGUAAACGAUGUCGACUUGGAGGUUGUGCCCUUGAGGCGUGGCUUCCGGAGCUAACGCGUUAAGUCGACCGCCUGGGGAGUACGGCCGCAAGGUUAAAACUCAAAUGAAUUGACGGGGGCCCGCACAAGCGGUGGAGCAUGUGGUUUAAUUCGAUGCAACGCGAAGAACCUUACCUGGUCUUGACAUCCACGGAAGUUUUCAGAGAUGAGAAUGUGCCUUCGGGAACCGUGAGACAGGUGCUGCAUGGCUGUCGUCAGCUCGUGUUGUGAAAUGUUGGGUUAAGUCCCGCAACGAGCGCAACCCUUAUCCUUUGUUGCCAGCGGUCCGGCCGGGAACUCAAAGGAGACUGCCAGUGAUAAACUGGAGGAAGGUGAGGAUGACGUCAAGUCAUCAUGGCCCUUACGACCAGGGCUACACACGUGCUACAAUGGCGCAUACAAAGAGAAGCGACCUCGCGAGAGCAAGCGGACCUCAUAAAGUGCGUCGUAGUCCGGAUUGGAGUCUGCAACUCGACUCCAUGAAGUCGGAAUCGCUAGUAAUCGUGGAUCAGAAUGCCACGGUGAAUACGUUCCCGGGCCUUGUACACACCGCCCGUCACACCAUGGGAGUGGGUUGCAAAAGAAGUAGGUAGCUUAACCUUCGGGAGGGCGCUUACCACUUUGUGAUUCAUGACUGGGGUGAAGUCGUAACAAGGUAACCGUAGGGGAACCUGCGGUUGGAUCACCUCCUUACCUUAAAGAAGC
rnacentral:rRNA from 1 species